GUACGAGUGAAAAGCCCUUGAAAGAGGGUUAAACAGUACGUGAAAUUGUUGAAAGGGAAGCGCUUGUGACCAGACUUGGGCGCGGCGGAUCAUCCGGGGUUCUCUCCGGUGCACUUCGCCGCGUUCAGGCCAGCAUCAGUUCGGCGCGGGGGAAAAAGGCUUCGGGAACGUGGCUGCUCCGGCAGUGUUAUAGCCCGUUGCAUAAUACCCUGCGCUGGACUGAGGACCGCGCAUCUGCAAGGAUGCUGGCGUAAUGGUCACCAGCGACCCGUCUUGAAACACGGACCAAG
rnacentral:rRNA from 1 species